UACGGAGGGUGCAAGCGUUAUCCGGAAUUACUGGGUUUAAAGGGUGCGUAGGCGGUUAGAUAAGUCAGUGGUGAAAGGUUGCCGCUUAACGGUAGAAUGGCCAUUGAUACUGUUUAACUUGAAUCAGGAUGAGGUUAGCGGAAUGAGACAUGUAGCGGUGAAAUGCAUAGAUAUGUCUUAGAACACCAAUUGCGAAGGCAGCUAGCUAGACCUAGAUUGACGCUGAGGCACGAAAGCGUGGGGAGCGAACAGG
rnacentral:rRNA from 1 species